GCCUCUACACGGGGUUAACGGCAGCUACCCGCCUGGAUCUGACGUUCCAACGAUGUCCUAAACCUUGUGUACCUGAAACACCGUGUUCAGUUUCGCUUCAGAGGAAUUUACGGUGCCGGAGUUCAACAUGAGGCUGUGUGCAGUGGUCGGCUGCGGUAAUGGAACAUAUCAACCAAGGCGGUUUCAACCUUCUUGUAUCAACUUUAAAAAAAGGAAGUCAGGGACAUGUCCAAAUAAAAACAUG